ACUUCACUCCCAGUUUUCUCUACCUCCUCCCCCGCAGUGGCACAGGAGGACGGGGAACGGGGGUUGCGGUCGGUCGGUUCAUCACACCUUGUCUCUGCCGCUCCUCCCUCCUCUGGGGGAGGACUCCUCACUCUUCCUCUGCGCCAGCGCAGGGUCUCUCCCAAAGGAGACAGCCCUCCACGAACUUCUCCAAUGUGAGUCCUUCCCAUGGACUGCAGCCCUUCAUGAACUGCUCCAGUGUGGGUCCCCUGCGGGGGCUGAAUCCUUCACUC